GCUUUGGUGGCUUAGUGGUUAGAGCAUCCGCCUCAGAUUCAAGAGGUUGUGGGUUCGAACCCUUAGCAUUGAAGCU